rnacentral:rRNA from 1 species
GACGAACGCUGGCGGCGUGCCUAAUACAUGCAAGUCGAACGCAGUGGGGACGGGUGAGUAACACGUGGGUAACCUCCCAUCAGAGGGGAUAACACUUGGAAACAGGUGCUAAACCGAUACUGAUGGAUGGACCCGCGGUGCAUUAACUAGUUGGUGAGGUAACGGCUCAACAAGGCCACGAUUCAGAGCCGGUCGUAGAGGGGGAUCGGCCACAGUGGGAAUGAGACACGGCCCAGACUCCUACGGGAGGCAGCAGUAGGGAAUCUGCGGCAAUGGACGAAAGUCUGACCGAGCAAAGCCGCGUGAGUGAAGAAGGUUUUCGGAUCGUAAAGCUCUGUUGUUAGAGAAGCGGGAUCUAACCAGAAAGCCACGGCUAACUACAUGCCAGCAGCCGCGGUAAUUC